CUUCCCUUGCAAGCAUACAGUUCUACGGUUUAGUUUAUUCACUUACAUAGUCUGACACAAUCCAUCUUAUGAAUAAUCAUAGCAGUCAUGGUUGAAUGAUGUAGAUAUGUCUUAGUUCUUUUAGCUUUAACCUUUGAAAUAAAGUUGCUGAGGUCAAGUAGUGACUGAUUUUGAGGGACCGUCUAAACCUAAUUAUAGAUACCUGGGGAACAGGAGGCAAUUUCAAAAGCAAACAAAGGUGGUGAGAUGACUCAACAGAUAAGUGUGACCCCUGAUAACCUAAGUUUGAUCCCCAGGAUCCCUGAGGUGGAAGAGAAAACCAACUUCCACAAGUUCCUCCAUGCUUUGACCAUGACAUGCAUGUACACACAUACAUACACAUACACACACUGAAUAAAAUUAAAUGUAACCUACGAGGAAACAACAGAUCUGCACAGCACCGAUAACUUCCUUCCUGGGGAUUUAAGAAGAGCCACUCUAUAGAUAUCCCAGAAUACAAGAGAAAGGAGAUGUUCUAGAAAGAGGAGAUGGAGCGGAAGGACGCCAAGGGAAUGAGCAUCCCCUCCUCUUCCAGGGUAGGAGGGAGACAGACACCCCACCUUGUAGCCAUAACCCAUACCAGAUGUUUUAGCUAGAAGUGAGCAAUCCACGGGGACACCCAACAGAGGUCAGCUCUGCAGGGGCAUCUGCCAGCUCUGGGGAGGAGCUCAGCAGCUGAGAUAAUAUUUGCCUUGACCUCCCAAAGAGGCAGAAACUCACAAAAGCGGCUUCUGGGAAAGAAGACCACAGUGCAUUAAUACUAAGCCAUGUCUAAGUAUUUUAUGCAUAUAGCAGUAGUGAGAAGAGGGUAAACUGAGCCACAAAGUCUGUGACACACCAGGAAGUUCAGACUGGAACCUAGAGGCCCUGGUACUGUGUAUUUUCCCUGGGCAGGUGGUCGGCUCAUAUCCAGGUGGUCUUGGAGGUAGGAAGAGAGCCAGGGAGUCUGAGGUGCAAGUGUCUCCAGGCUGCUGUCUGGGAGACAAGGAAGGGGAGGAGGUAAGUGCAUAACUGCAAAGGGUAGUAAAUGAGGAGAGUCACAUUGGUUUGUUAAGCUUUUGUUUCUAUUUUCCAGAGAAAGAACAACCUGGUCUGAUGGGCCCAGCUCUUGGAACAUGUAUGGUCCCUAACUGCUUGCUGUGUUUGCAGUGUAAAAUGUCCCCGUGGGAUCAUGUGUUUGAAAACUUGGUCUCUACUUGGGAGGUUGUGGGAACCCUGGGGGGGGGGCUGUUAGGCUCCUUAACAGGUGGUAACGGCAUCCUGCUCUCCUCUUCCUGAUCUACAGUCGGUGCCUCGUGCCACAGAGCAGGCUGCUGCCAUGCCUUCCCCUCCAGGAAGAACUCUAGUCUCAAACUGUGAGCCAGAACAAACUCUUCCUUCUUCAGGUUGCUUCCUUGGGUCAUUUGAUGCUGGUGACGAGGAGUCAUGAAUGUACAGCUUUAAGAGCAUCAGUGAGCUAGGGUGCCAAGAAGUGAGCACCAGGAGGAGGCUUGGAGCUUGGAGGGAGGUCUCAAGGCUCUCAGUUUGGGGAAGAACCUUUCCCAUCUAUCUGCCUUGCUGAGAGCUGCUCCAGAGAGCUCCUUCUAUAACACACCCUCACCCUGACCCUGUGCAGCAGUGGACUUGCCAACCCUCCAGGCUCUGCACCUCAAGUUCAGCUGCCAUGGGGACAGGAGCCCUGCGCCUUUUUCUUCCUCUUUUCUCUUUCAUGUCCCUUUGCUCUCCACCUGCCCAAAGCUCCCGAAAGAUUGGCAUCUCAGGGUGACAUCAUGUCUCCUCUAACAUUCAGGCUCUGGGCUCAGGCUAAGGAUCAGGGUUCUAGAAAGGGAUCCUAACCCAGAAAGUCAGAGGUUUAAGAAAAAAAUCCCAUGGAUGGAUAUAUCUAAAAUUUGGGCUUGAAUGGGAGGCCAGAGAAUACAAAAUUCCAAAACCUUGAUCUUGAUUUUCAUUAAAUGUUUUUGAGGGCCAAGUUCAUGGUCAAAGAGAACUGUUAGUACAAAGGCUGUGGAAGGAGGAAGUUGGCAAGGAUGAACCAUUGCGCAGGCUGGCCUUUGGUUUCCUAACUGGUAUUUCUGCAUGGUACCUUCUUCCAGGGAUUUCUUGGAAUGAGCCAGGCUGCAGAGGUGAUUGAGUGUCAAUGUGGAGCUGCUCUCCAUCCAAGCAUGCCUCCUUAUUGCUAGAGCUCUGGUCUGGCAAGGCUUGUCAGGACAUAGGGGUGUGUGAGACAAUAAGUCUGAACACAAUUGGAAAGAUCAUGCAGGUCUGUCUCUGUGCUGCCUACCAGGGCCCUACUGUAGCAGAGCUCCAGCCCACAAGAAGUUCAAGUUUGACCACAUCCUUUUUGGAAUUGGAUCCUUUCAUUGGUUCUACAACACUGGGGAAUGCCAAUGAAAAUGUGCACAGUCACUAUGGAAUUUUAUUCAGCUGUAAAGAAGCAUGAACUUUGCAGGAAAAUGAAUAUGACCGGAAAAUGUUGUGGGCCAUUCUGCUGUUGGCCUGUAACCCACUUUAAACACAGUGUUGCAGAAGCAGCCCAGCACUGCACAAGCUCUGAGUUCAGGCCUUGAGAGACGAUGUGAAGCUUUUCAAUCCCAGAAGACAAGCAAUGACCUCCUAGCAAGAUGAACUCUGCUGACGUCACACCAAGGACCCAGACCUAUCCCUCCAGCUCCAGUCAUCCCAGGGCUGACUGAACGGGGAGAGCAGUAGAAACCUCAGACACCAUACAGUGUUGUUUUAGGACUUUCAGACUUCGGCAAUAAACGACCAAUACAGCUGGUGUCCUGCCAGUGCCGGAAUGGGGUCCUUUGCUCAUAGAAGACCUUAUGGCCUGAAGACAAUGCACAAUAGUGGAGCACUUGUCUGGUGUGUGUGAGGCCCAGGUCCCAAACCCAAACCCAAACCAAAAGAUGUCUCCUGGCUUUCCAGUACAGUGAAGUAGGGUUCCCACCAUUGAAGUGACUGAGAAAGCCUAUAAAUACAACAACGUGU